AUGGAAAAAAAAAUAAAUAAAUAAAAAAUCAAAGUACCAACACGUGAUGGACAGAAAAUAUUAAAAAAAUGGACGACCCUUUUCAUUUUCAGAGAAGCACCAACUUCACUAUAAACCAUUCUUUCUUCAAGGCGCCAUUUAUUUUCCCCCAAAUUUGGCUCCACCCGUAAGUUACGUUUUUGCUCAAAUCUUGAGCUCUUUGAGUUGCGGUCGACCAACCAACCGAGGCACCAUUUCUUUAAGCUACGUUUUCCCCCAAAUUUGGAGAUUAUUCAACCGCGGUCUACCGACACAUAUCCUAUGGCGCCAACGUCCAAACCCCAGAAAGACUUGGACUGACCAAUACUUCAUAAGUUGACGUCGGUGUUAGUUCUGAAAUCUGAUUUCCACCUGACCCAACUCAUUCACUCGAAGAUGGAGAUAGACAAAGGUUUGGUUUUGUGGUUUCGGAUUAGUAAAAAUUGUAAUGUGUUAAUGGAUCCUUGUCAAGAAAAUGUGUAAUCCCUCUUUUAUGUUAAAUGCAGCAAGAAAUGGGUUAAGAAACCAGUCCCAUCUUUUGCUUAAACUGUUCACCUCCCUUGUUUUAUAAUGUUAUUUUCUUAGUUUUAAAGCUAUAGGUCAUUUUAAUCUCCUCAUUAUCCCGCCUAUUUUCAGUAUCCUGAAAUUGGGGGUUUUCUUUGGUAGGAAAUUUUUUUUUUUCAAAGUGGGAUUUGGGAUCGGGUCUAAGUUGAGAUCUUUAGUUGUAGAAAUGGUGGCCUAGUAAAUCGAUUUUGAAUUUUCUAUUUUCAUUUUUACUUAAUAUCUUGUAUCGGAAAUCAGUUUCUUUAAUUUUGGUUUUAUAGUGUAGUUGGUUUUUUGUCACAGGGAAAGAAUGUUUGCGAAAUGUGGAUGACAUUAUAUUGGUAGAAUCCGAUAAUGAGAAUUUGAAGGAUGAUAUGAACUUAUUGGGUGAUGAAAACUUAGGCGGAGAUGGUGUAGUUGUUCCUCAAGUGGGUAUGAAGUUCAAGGACGAUGUUGAAUUGUUCGAUUUUUACAAAAGAUAUGUGUACACUAUAGGUUUUCCAAAAUGAAAUUCGAAAAAGGACGAUGAUGGAGUGAUGAGAUAUCUUACGUUGACGUGUAGUCGUGAAGGGAAAAGAAGUAGUACUAAAAUUGGUACUUUGAAGCCACAAGCAACCAUUCAGACAGGUUGUCUAGCCAGACUGAUGCAUCAGCAAACGAUCAUGGAAUUUGGAGAAUUAACACAGUGAAUCUCGGAAACACAGUGAAUCUUGAACACAAUCAUAAAACAAGUCCGACCAAGUCAAGGUUGUAUCGAUGCAAUCGGGAGUUAAGUGCACAAGUUAAACGGCGGCUUCAAGUAAACGAUAUUACAAGAAUUCCAUUACACAAAAGUUACAAUGCUGUAGUAGUUGAAGCAUGUGGAUAUGAUAAUAUGACUUGCAUGGAAAAAGAUUGUCAACAUUAUGUUGAACAAGUUCGGCGCUUAGGACUUGGAGGAGUAGACGUCGCAGCAAUACAAUCUUACUUUUCAAAAAUGCAAGUAAGUUGCUCGGGGCUUUACUUUAGUAUAGAUUUGGACGACGAGUCGACGUUGAAGAAUAUUUUUUGGGCAGAUAAUAGGAGUACACAGGCAUAUAAGGAGUUCGGGGACGGUGUCACGUUCGAUACGACUUACCUAACUAAUAAGUAUGACAUGCCUUUUGUCCCUUUUGUUGGGGUGAAUCAUUAUGGACAAUUCACACUACUUAGAUGUGAUUUGGUGUCGAAUGAGGAUAUAGACACCUUUUUAUGGCUAUUUAAGACAUGGCUAUAAUGCAUGCAUGGCCAAGCUCCCCAUGGGAUAAUUACAGAUCAGGACAGGGCCAUGCAAAAUGCAAUUGAGAUCGUGUUUCCAAAUACGAAACAUCGAUGUUGUUUGUGGCAUAUAUUAAAGAAGUUACCAGAAAAGUUUAGGUACAAUGUGGACAAGGUUUCUAUAAUUCAGUCUAUACACGAAUUGGUUUAUGAUUCUCAAUUCAUUGAACAGUUUGAAGAUUGGUGGAGGGCUAUGAUUGAUAUGUAUGUGUUGCAUGAUAAUGAUUGGUUAACGGGACUAUACGAGAGUAGAUGUUGGGUUCCUUGCUAUUUUAAAACCACAUUUUGGGCAGGAAUGUCAACAACCCAACGAAGUGAGAGUAUGAAUGCAUUUUUCGAUGGAUAUGUACAUUCGAAGACAUCGUUAAAGUAAUUCGUGGAAAAAUACGAAAGAGCAUUGAGAAGCAAAGUCGAGAAGGAGUUUCAAGUAGAUUUCAAGUCUUACUCACAAAUGAUACCAUGUGCAACACGGUAUGAAAUGGAGAAGCAAUUUCAAGCGAUUUACACAAUUUCUAAAUUUAGAGAAGUUCAGGAGGAGUUCACUAGAAAAAUGUAUUGCGACCUUGUAUGUACUUCUGUGGGAUGUUUGGGGACGAGGUACGAGAGGAUGUCAUCUAUGAGUCACGUUCGAAGAAAAAGACUUUCUUGGUCUCUUUUCAGCCAGAAAAGUGUGAAAUUACUUGUGGUUGCCACUUACUUGAGUUUCAAGGCAUACUAUGUGGGCAUGCAAUCACAGUGUUAAUUCGUCACGAUGUCAAAGUAUUACCUGACAAAUAUAACCUACGCAGAUGGCGGAGAGAUGUGAGUAGAGUCCACAUGAGGGUUGAUAUGAACUACGAUGGAUUGGUUAGUACUCUUGGACAGUUGAUGUAUGAAAAAUUGUGUACUUCUUUCGCAUUGUUGGCAGACCUGGCCACAGAUGAUGUCGUCAGAGCUACAACAUUACUGGAGUGGAUCGAAGAUCAAUGUAAAGAGAUAAUGACAUCGAAAUCAAGUUCUGGGAGUAAUGUCGUGUCCUUGCAUAUGACCUAGUCAGCCUCUCAGUGUAGAGCGUCACAAGAAACUGGCAGCGGUAGUGUAAAGGAUCUAAAAUGUGUGAAGAGGAAGGGUGCGCCUAAGAAACUCCAUAAGAAGAGCCCAUUGGAAUUGCUACAGAAUAAAGCAAAGGCAUGUUUCGCAUUUAUUGCGACCUCGUAUGUUCUUUUUUUAGUACCCAUAAGUCAUAAGUUGGGUGAUAUUACAGGGAAGUUCGAGUUCAAACAAAGGAAGGAGACUAAAGGCACGUCCAACUAAUAUGGAAGUUGAUUUAUAUGUCGUAAAAUUAGUCGAAUAGGCACAGCAUUCAAUGCCUGUACCUUUAUCCUUUUCGUAGCUACUAAUGGGUGAUAACCGAAGUAUGGGAUUUACUCAACACAUUCCUCCAGUUUCAUCCUCUGAAUGCAAGUAACGAAAAUGAGUUCAAUGGUCAAGGUAAUACAUGUGACUAAACAGUUUUACCCAUUCACGAAUUUAUGUUUUUUCUAUAAUAUGUUCAUAUUGUACGGGAUUUGAAAACACGCCAUACUACUUUUCCUGUUUAUCGGACCAAGAUGUCCCGAACAUGUGAUUGUUACACAUAGAUAUAGAAGGUGAAGUUGUGUUGGUUUUGACGAAUGGUUGGUAGUUGGAAUGUGGAUUUUACUUCAUCCCUACCACAUGUAUGGUUUACUUUUUUCUUUGAGCUCCAGAAUUACAUUUAUUUUAGGAAUUAUCAUGCUUUUGGUCCGACUGAAAUGUAAGGUUUCAGUGCUGCCUGCAGGUACCAAGGUUUCUUUGAUUAUUUUGUUAAUUAUUCAUGUGAAGUUGGUAGAGUGGGACGACAAAGAAGAAGGCAAGGAAGUGACUCGACAAUGGGAAGAUGAUUGGGAUGAUGAUGAUGUCAUAUAACUUUCUACUGCAACUUUAAUUCCAGCUACUAAACUUCCAUAUGCCACUGUGAAGUUAGUUGCAAUGUUUUGUUAUUCCUGUAUUGAAUUCUUAGAAUCAGGAACAAAAAUUUGACCACUUCCUCUCAAUGGAAAGAUGCUGGAAAUUUGUGACAAUUACCAGAAACUUAAUUGUAAAGAUAGUGAAUUUUAAUUAAGUAUUUCGCAUGUGGGGAACAGCCA